UCGUGGGGUGACUUGUCUGCUUAAUUGCGAUAACGAGCGAGACCUUACUCUGCUAAAUAGCCAGGCUAGCUUUGGCUGGUCGAGGCUUCUUAGAGAGACUAUCGGCUUCAAGCCGAUGGAAGUUUGAGGCAAUAACA
rnacentral:rRNA from 1 species